UACAGAGGGUGCAACCGUUGCUCGGAAUUAUUGGGCGUAAAGCGCGUGUAGGCGGCUUGUUAAGUCGGUUGUGAAAACCCAUGGCUCAACCAUGGAAGGGCGUCCGAAACUGGCAAGCUAGAGUCCCGACGAGGAUGGCGGAAUUCCCAGUGUAGAGGUGAAAUUCGUAGAUAUUGGGAGGAACACCGGUGGCGAAGGCGGCCAUCUGGGAGGGCACUGACGCUGAGACGCGAAAGCGUGGGGAGCAAACAGG
rnacentral:rRNA from 1 species